AUUGAACGCUGGCGGCAUGCCUUACACAUGCAAGUCGAACGGCAGCACGGGUGCUUGCACCUGGUGGCGAGUGGCGAACGGGUGAGUAAUAUAUCGGAACGUACCUUAUUGUGGGGGAUAACGCAGCGAAAGCUGUGAUAAUACCGCAUAAUCCCUGAGGGGGAAAGCGGGGGACCGUAAGGCCUCGCGCAAUUAGAGCGGCCGAUACCUGAUUAGCUAGUUGGUGAGGUAAAGGCUCACCAAGGCAACGAUCAGUAGCUGGUCUGAGAGGACGAUCAGCCACACUGGGACUGAGACACGGCCCAGACUCCUACGGGAGGCAGCAGUGGGGAAUUUUGGACAAUGGGGGCAACCCUGAUCCAGCAAUGCCGCGUGAGUGAAGAAGGCCUUCGGGUUGUAAAGCUCUUUUGUCAGGGAAGAAACAGCAGCUCUAACACAGUUUGCGAAUGACGGUACCUGAAGAAUAAGCACCGGCUAACUACGUGCCAGCAGCCGCCGUAA
rnacentral:rRNA from 1 species